rnacentral:rRNA from 1 species
GUGCCAGCAGCCGCGGUAAUACGGAGGGUGCAAGCGUUAUCCGGAUUCACUGGGUUUAAAGGGUGCGUAGGUGGAUCUGUAAGUCCGUGGUGAAAUCUCCGAGCUUAACUUGGAAACUGCCAUGGAUACUAUAGGUCUUGAAUACUGUGGAGGUUAGCGGAAUAUGUCAUGUAGCGGUGAAAUGCUUAGAUAUGACAUAGAACACCAAUUGCGAAGGCAGCUGGCUACACAAAUAUUGACACUGAUGCACGAAAGCGUGGGGAUCAAACAGGAUUAGAUACCCUGGUAGUCC